CGGCCCAGACUCCUACGGGAGGCAGCAGUGGGGAAUAUUGCACAAUGGGCGCAAGCCUGAUGCAGCCAUGCCGCGUGUAUGAAGAAGGCCCUAGGGUUGUAAAGUACUUUCAGUCGGGAGGAAGGCGCUGAUGCUAAUAUCAUCAGCGAUUGACGUUACCGACAGAAGAAGCACCGGCUAACUCCGUGCCAGCAGCCGCGGUAAUACGGAGGGUGCAAGCGUUAAUCGGAAUUACUGGGCGUAAAGCGCACGCAG
rnacentral:rRNA from 1 species